rnacentral:rRNA from 1 species
CCUACGGGAGGCAGCAGUGAGGAAUAUUGGUCAAUGGACGAGAGUCUGAACCAGCCAAGUAGCGUGAAGGAUGACUGCCCUCUGGGUUGUAAACUUCUUUUAUAAAGGAAUAAAACGAGGCACGUGUGCCUUUUUGCAUGUACUUUAUGAAUAAGGAUCGGCUAACUCCGUGCCAGCAGCCGCGGUAAUACGGAGGAUCCGAGCGUUAUCCGGAUUUAUUGGGUUUAAAGGGAGCGUAGAUGGGUUGUUAAGUCAGUUGUGAAAGUUUGCGGCUCAACCGUAAAAUUGCAAUUGAUACUGGCAGUCGUGAGUACAGUAGAGGUAGGCGGAAUUCGUGGUGUAGCGGUGAAAUGCUUAGAUAUCACGAAGAACCCCGAUUGCGAAGGCAGCUUACUAAACUGUGACUGACAUUGAUGCUCGAAAGUGUGGGUAUCAAACAGGAUUAGAUACCCUAGUAGUC